GUUCGGCUCUUCAGGAUGGCAAACGCAGCCCUAACCAGUAAAGGAAUAUUUAAGGCUGGGCAGAAAACAGAGUCUUCAUAAAUAAAACACUGACAUGGAGUGUAAGACAAACCCAGGCCAGACAGUGUGCUAAAAAAUCUGUGAAAAGUGCAUCUGGCUGGCUCAGGACUCCCUGAGUAAGGUAGACAUUCUCCUAAGCACCUCUUGGCUGUUUGGCCUCUCAUGAAAAAACAUGAAAUAAAGGCUGCCUUUCUCAUUUUAAAGCUACAGUUACCUGACAAGCAUCUACCCCUCCUUCCAAGUAUCCAGCACACAGCAUCCUAGGUGUUAUGUCCCCAUCGUACACUUCUUUUCUGUUGCAAGUCUUUGGGUCAAUAAGUUUCACUGUUGCUUCCUGAAGAGCAUUUGGAGCUGGACCUAAGGAAUAAUACAGUUUGGAUAUUUGUUAACAGAAUUAUCUUGCAGUAGUUGAGAUAGAUACAGGAAGAGCAUUUAAUGUUCUCUUAUGGAUGAUCAGCUUGACUUGGUAUGAUGUAGAGGUUUUGCUUGUUGAUCUGUCUAGGUUAGGCCCUUAAGGAAAAUGUACAUACUCAUAGUCUUAAAAACUGUACCAUUAAGACAGAAGUAACAAUUGCAUGGCACAUAGUGCCUUAUUCCAUAUAAUACUAUGGAACACAAAUUACCUAGCAAUUUGAGCAGAUGAUACAAAAUGAAGAUAUCUUUGGUUCCAUUGCUAAAUCUUAGCAUGGCCUGGUAAGUGUCUGAGCUUGCGUCAGUCACUGCAGCUCACUCUGCUGAUUUACCUGAAAGCUCAGAGUUAUCUGUAGCUUCUGGCUAGGGCUGGGAGAAUAUUUUUUUUUAGGUGCUAUAUAAACACAUGCAUUGCUAGAUUACAUGUCUUAAGAAUUUACAAUGUGAAAUGGAAAGGCUGGAAAAAGAGAGUUUUCUGCUUGAGUGGACAGUAGCUCUUUGUCCAGUGUAAUUUUAUAACAAGAAUCUGCUGCUUACAACUAAACAAGCCUAUUGCUUAAAGCAUUAGGCUUAUUGCCAUACAACAUAUACCUGCAGAAGAGGUAUCAAUUCAGUAGCACAACAGAG